UGGAAGCAACAAGUGAGUGGGAAACAUAACUGGACUGUUUUUUCUUGUUUUUGGGAUGAUUAUGAUUGUCAAAAUGACAUAACAACACGUGGGCAACACUGCAUAUGAGUACACAUUGGCUUUGAUUUUGGAUAUUUUUGUUCAUUUUAAUUUGAGUGUUAAGUGAAUGGACCAAAUGCCUGCAAGUGGAUGACAUUCCUUUGGGCUAUUUUUUUUUCUUUUUUUGGGAAUUAUUGACUGUCUAAACAACACAACUCCACUUUGUGAGCAUUAUAAGGACACGAGGGAGAACUGUCAGCAGCACCAGAAAGCGACACUAUGAAUGACAGAUCCACUAGGCCAAUGUUGACUCUACCUGCUGGCACACCCAUCCCUUUCCAGCAGGAAGAUGGCACUUGGAAACCAGCGACAGUCACUCGACCAGCUGAGAGACACCAUAAAGCUACCACAUCCAGAAUAGUGAUUGCCAGUCCUUCAGACGCAACUGGUGACAUCGGCAGCACAACAGCGUAACUACCACAGAGCAACCAGAAAUCAAUGAGGGCAACUCCAGUUCUCGGGAAGAGGACCCAGAUGCACAACAUCUUCACACCAGGCAGAGACAGUAACUGAAUUGGAGCAGAGCAAAGCAUUUCUUCAUUGCAGUCAGAAGCAGUUACUUAAUACUAUUUACAAUUAUUUCUACAUUAUCCUCCUGUUUAUCCUACAUUUGCUCAUAUCCUUAAAUCAUCUAAUAGAUCACCCUUUCGGCUUACAUUCGGAGGAAAAUAUAGCACUAAUUACUUGUAAUCUUCUGGAUCAGAGAACAGGUCUGGAAGAGAAGUCAUAACGUCAUCAUCGUGGUCAACAAUAUCACUGUCUUUACUCUGUUGUGCCAAUAAUGGAUAUAUAUGUGCCAAUUUUCAAUUUGUCGGGGCAAUAGCAGUGGUUAUAAGUUGGUUAAGUGAUGCCUUUAUGCAG